rnacentral:rRNA from 1 species
GACGUAGGGUUCGAGCGUUGUCCGGAGUUACUGGGCGUAAAGGGCGCGUAGGCGGCUUUGUGCGUCACACGUGAAAGCCCCUGGCUUAACCAGGGAGGGUCGUGUGAAACGGCGAAGCUGGAGGCAGAGAGAGGCUGGUGGAAUUCCCGGAGUAGUGGUGAAAUGCGUAGAUAUCGGGAGGAACACCGGUGGCGAAGGCGGCCAGCUGGCUCUGACCUGACGCUGAGGCGCGAAGGCGUGGGGAGCGAACGGG